UCUGCCUGGUAGUGGGGGAUAACUUGCCGAAAGGUAAGCUAAUACCGCGUACGCCCUACGGGGGAAAGCAGGGGAUCUUUGGACCUUGCGCUAUCAGAUGAGCCCAGGUCGGAUUAGCUAGUUGGUGAGGUAAUGGCUCACCAAGGCGACGAUCCGUAGCUGGUCUGAGAGGAUGAUCAGCCACACCGGGACUGAGACACGGCCCGGACUCCUACGGGAGGCAGCAGUGGGGAAUAUUGGACAAUGGGGGGAACCCUGAUCCAGCCAUGCCGCGUGUGUGAAGAAGGUCUUCGGAUUGUAAAGCACUUUAAGUUGGGAGGAAGGGUUUUCGGUUAAUACCCGAGAAUUUUGACGUUACCAACAGAAUAAGCACCGGCUAACUUCGUGCCAGCAGCCGCGGUAAUACGAAGGGUGCGAGCGUUAAUCGGAAUUACUGGGCGUAAAGCGCGCGUAGGUGGUUGGGUAAGUUGGAAGUGAAAGCCCCGGGCUUAACCUGGGAAUUGCUUUCAAAACUACCUGGCUAAAGUACGGUAGAGGGUAGUGGAAUUUCCUGUGUAGCGGUGAAAUGCGUAGAUAUGGGAAGGAACAUCAGUGGCGAAGGCGACUACCUG
rnacentral:rRNA from 1 species